rnacentral:misc_RNA from 1 species
AAAGAAGGGCAAGUUGGCACCUCGAUAUAUUGGACCUUUUGAGGUUAUUGAUAGAGUUGGAAUUGUUGCUUAUCAGUUGGAGUUACCCACCAACUUUUCUCAUGUUCAUCCAGUAUUUUACAUCUCCAUGCUCAGAAAAUACAUACCUGAUCUUUCUCAUGUGUUACAGCCGGAUACAGUAGAGUUGAAGGAGGACUUGAUGUUUGAGGAGCAACCUGUAGCCAU